GUGAUUUAAGGAGAAGAUUUAGUUCGAGGAGAAAGGUGAGAUCUUAGGUAGUGAUUUAGAACAUUUUUGUUUGUGAAUAAAAAACUUUGCAUAUAAAAUAAUGAAAUUAAUCAAAUAUUCAAGAGCACCAUCAUCUGGAUUAUCAUAGUAACAGAUAAUAUCCCUAAGAUUAAAAGAGUAAACAGAAUUAGCAGCUUCAAAAAAGUGAGUCUCUAGAUCUGUCCAAAUUUUUGGGAUAUUUCACAAUCAAAAAAUAGGUGAGAAAUUGUUUCUCCAUGCAGAAGGUGGCGAUAUAUGAGAGCAGGCAUACGUCACUUCCUUGUCGUCAGAACAACCAUGCCCCCUUUUGGGUGAAAACAAGCGCUGUAAAAGUGCCGGUGCCAGAUUGGAAAAACUAGUGGCACCAGGCCUAUUAAAAGCUGCUGCGUCGUAUUUUUCACGUUAAACAAUAAUAAAUAAAAAAAAAACAGUUUACGAUGUUCUUUACUUCCCCAAAGAGCGAAGAACAGUAAAAGAAGAGAUCUGCGGCUUCAGGCCAUCCGCAGAGAGGAUGAACAUGGUAAACUGCAGGACCCAGCCAGUCAAUACGUGGCAAAAUCUUACUCCAGUUAUAAGAAGUGGACUACAGUCAAAUAUUUUAUUGCGUGUAGUCCUGCAGACAGCAUCACCUUCUUGUCCAAAGGCUGGGGUGGAAGAGCAUCUGAUGUUAAGAUAGUGAGGGAAUCUGGCUUCAUUUCACCACUGUACCACCAUCCUGAGGACCAGAUUUUGGCUGAUCGGGGUUUUGCCCUUAAAGACGACUUUGCCUUGCUUGGUGCCAGUCUCCAAAACCCCAGCCUUCACUCACGGCAGGAAACAACUCCCAGGCAAAGACGUUGAAGAGUCCAGAAUGAAAUCAAAGUUCGGAUUC